rnacentral:rRNA from 1 species
CAAUAGCGUAUAUUAAAGUUGUUGCAGUUAAAAAGCUCGUAGUUGGAUUUCUGGUGGGAGCACGGGUCGGCCCUCACGGGUUGUACUGUUGUUGCGUCCUGCCGUUUCGGAGGGAAUGGCCUCGCUAUUAAGUUAGCGUGGUCGGGAACUCUGUCGUUUACUGUGAAAAAAUUAGAGUGUUUAAAGCAGGCUUUUGCUGUGAAUACAUUAGCAUGGAAUAAUAAUCUAGGACUUCGGUUCUAUUUUGUUUGGUUUCUUAGUACUGAAGUAAUAGAUUGAUAGGGAUAGUUGGGGGUGGCUAGUAUUGGUCCGGGCCACGAGGUGGAAAUUACUUGGAUUCGGUCAAGACUAACUUAUGCGAAGACAUUCACCAAGGAUGUCUUCUUUAAUUCAAGAACGAAAGUUGGGGGAGUCGAAGAUGAUCAGAUACCAU